CUCUCCCCUCGUGGGAGAGGGACAGAUUUUCCGCGUUCAGCGGAAAAUCAGGGUGAGGGG
rnacentral:sRNA from 1 species